GGAAGUAGAAGUCGUAACAAGGUCUCCGUUGGUGAACCAGCGGAGGGAUCAUUACCGAGUUUACAACUCCCAAACCCCAUGUGAACCUUACCAAACGUUGCUUCGGCGGGAUGCCCCGGGCGCGGGCCGCAAGGCCUCAGCCCCGGAACCAGGCGCCCGCCGGAGGCCCAAACCAAACUCUUGUUUUUGUAGAAUCUUCUGAGUGGCCUUUUAGGCAAAAAAUGAAUCAAAACUUUCAACAACGGAUCUCUUGGUUCUG
rnacentral:misc_RNA from 1 species